rnacentral:rRNA from 1 species
AACGAACGCUGGCGGCAUGCCUAACACAUGCAAGUCGAACGAGACCUUCGGGUCUAGUGGCGCACGGGUGCGCAACGCGUGGGAAUCUGCCCUUGGGUUCGGAAUAACAGUUGGAAACGACUGCUAAUACCGGAUGAUGACGUAAGUCCAAAGAUUUAUCGCCCAAGGAUGAGCCCGCGUAGGAUUAGCUAGUUGGUGAGGUAAAGGCUCACCAAGGCGACGAUCCUUAGCUGGUCUGAGAGGAUGAUCAGCCACACUGGGACUGAGACACGGCCCAGACUCCUACGGGAGGCAGCAGUGGGGAAUAUUGGACAAUGGGCGAAAGCCUGAUCCAGCAAUGCCGCGUGAGUGAUGAAGGCCUUAGGGUUGUAAAGCUCUUUUACCCGGGAUGAUAAUGACAGUACCGGGAGAAUAAGCUCCGGCUAACUCCGUG